AUCUCACCCUCCUUGCAGCAGUUUAGAUUGAGUUGCUAGACAAUUCUUGUCAACUAAUACCAGGACAGUGGGUCUUGCCUUGUGUCUACGUUGUUAUCAAUUGUCCAUAGCUACUUCAGCCACAUUUCCAGGAUGAGUGAAACAACCAGGCUGUGGACGGAUCUUGGAAAUUUUAGCCAUCUUGGACUUUGGAUAUCCAGCUUGGGUUUGAAAAUUAGCAGUAAGAGGGGACUUGGAUGGGCUUUUGGCAUGGAAGGCUUCUGGGAGAUAAAGCUAGGGAAUCUGUGCAUCCCUAACCACCCACAACAAGUUCUCAGCCAUCCUGCAGCCCCUUAGCACCGAGGCUGUGUGGGAGCUUGUCCUGUCCUGGAGGGGAUGGGCUGGAGACUGGCGACACUGCCAACCACAGACGACCAACAUCAUGCCUCGAGAAACAAGAAGCCGCAACUGAUGACAUCCAGGCAGCUAAUGGUGAGGAGCAAAGGACUCGCAAAGGACUCUGGGACCAAUUGGAAGUGGCCAUGCAGAUCAACAGCCCGUGACGGGCCAGAAGGCUUCUAGGACAUUCUAUGAGAGACUAUAUAUGUGUGUCAUUUAUUAGUGUACUUACAAUUCCUGUCUCACAACCUUUCUAAUUAAUAAACACCCAAAGAACAUAUUUUACAGAGACUUAAAAAAAGAAAGGGUUUGAGGACUAUGAAUACGUUUUUUAUUAAUUGCAAUUUGUAUUUGAAAGGGGAUAGUUUUUUUCCUUAUGAGCAGCGGCAAAUUAGGUGUGAAAAAUACAGAAAGGUUCAUGAAAAGGGAGAGUAAAUAGCACAACAAAUGUGUUCAUGUGGUUGAAGCACUCGAUUGGAAGUCAAAGGGUCAGAUUUUGAUCUCAGCUCUG